GGCCAUUUGAACUGAAUCAACCAUCUCCCAACGUCAGGUUGGAUAAUACAGUUAAAUUGUGUCUGCGUGCAACCGUUGGGAAAGUGUAAUAAAUCAAUGCUAGGCAGUAAGAACGAGAACGCGGAAGUAACAAAAUCAACGACGAGCAAGAAGAGCAGGUGGCGCUGAAGGAGACUUGCCAUAACAAAUGCCAUAGACGUAGCUGGUCAAGCAAAAAAAAUAUAUACAUACAUAUAUAGUUGGGCUGUAUAAUUCUUUCAUCGUUUAUUAAAAUGGAUGAAGUUUUUUCAUUGCACAUGGAAAAACUGGACGUCUAUGACGUUCUUCUCCUUGCUGGCAUACUCUCUGUAAUAAUUUUAAUAUGUAUUUAGUUUUACAAAAACAAUUUUAAGUAGGACUCGAACAAUUUUCCCAAUCUGAAAAUGUAGCUACUUGUGAAAUACAACACGAAUGCGAAUGAUACCAAAGCGCAAUAGAAAAUAUACUGUUUGCUAAAAGCAAGUGUUGCAAAGCGGAGUGUUAAAGCCCAUCGGACGGAUACAAUAAGAUGCGGUGUUAUAAAAUAAAUUCAACAGUAUGUUUUAGUGUAAUUUUUAAUGAAAGAAAUGGCAAUAUGUAAACUAAUACAACGCCUUUAGUUUAUUCGCAUAUCCGAUAUAUUUUUUGUCUACAUAUUUAUUUAGCUAAUUUUCUUCACACACAGUAUGUUUGUAAAGACUGAAUUAUUGUACAUACUUAUGUAGUCGUCUUUUGUAAUAAAUUUGG